rnacentral:piRNA from 2 species
UAAGAAGUAGUCAAGUGGUGGCGUG